CCGAACAUGCUACGCUGUCUGGAGGAUGGCUCGGCUUGAGAGCCGACGAAGGGCGCGGCAAGCGGCGAUACAGCCCCGGGUAGGCGCAUGCAGCCUUAGAACCGGGGAUUCCUGAAUGGGACUUCCUAGUAAUGCUCCUUCACGGAGCGGGAACCCCCCGAACGGAAGCAUCUUAGUAGGGGGAGGAAAAGAAACCAAAACGGGAUUCCCUUAGUAGCAGCGAGCGAAAUGGGAAAAGUCCAAACUGAAUCCCAUAUUGAAAAAUAUGGGAGAUGUAGUGUUAAGGGUCCAGCUUCCUCUUCACUGGUCAAGCUGAAGUGGUCUGAAAUGACCAGCCAUAGAGGGUGAUAGCCCCUUAAGCAUAAACUAGAAAGAGUUGAGCUGGAAUCCCAGACUACCGUACCAUGGCUUUGGUGCGGAAAAUUGGGAGUCACCAACUUCCAAGACUAAAUACGCCUCAAGACCGAUAGCGCACUAGUACGGUGACGGAAAACUGAAAAGUACCCCGGAAUGGGGGUGAAAAGUGCCUGAAACCAGACAGUAACAGACGUGUGCAGCCCAGAAGGAAAGAUCCCUCUUAAAGGAAACCGCUGUGAAGCGGUUGUACAAGAGAGGGGGACCAGGGUUGCAUGUUCCGUCUCGAAACACGGGCCGGGGAGUUUAUAGCUGUGGCAAGCCUAAGGGUUAAAAGCCCGUAAGCAUAGGGAAACCAAUAUGCACGCAACUACCGAAAGGUAGCCAGGUGCGAGGUCUGAAAGGGCCUGAAGUUACAGCUAUACAUACUAGAAACCAGACGAUCUAUCCCUGGGCAGAGUGAAGUUAGGCGAAAGCCUAAUGGAAGCUCGAAGGGGUUCUGACGUGCAAUUCGUUCCUCAGACCUGGGGAUAGGGGCUAAAGACCAAUCUAGUCUGGUGAUAGCUAGUUCCCUCCGAAGUAGAUCUCAGUCUAGUCGUGAGCGAGGUAGCAGGUGGGGUAGGGCACUGAUUGGAAAGCAAGGGUCCGAAAGGAUCCACUUUUCUUUCAAACUUCGAAUCCACCUGCGCUGUAGACCUCAUGAAACGGGUUAAUGGGGGUAAGCUCCAUGACCGCGAGGGGGACAACCCAGACUGAGGUUAAGGUCCCCAAGUGCUGGCUAAAUGUCAAACAAAAGGGCGUCGUCAGCCUAAGACAGCGGGGAGGUAGGCUUAGAAGCAGCCAUCCUUCAAAGAAAGCGUAACAGCUCCCCCGCCGAGGCUAACGGCCCCGAAAAUGGACGGGACUAAGCCAGCCACCGAUACCUCAGAGCACAACAUAUAGUUGUGUUGGUAGGAGGGCGUCCUGGCUGGACAGAAGCUGGGCUGUGAAGUCCAGUGGACCGGUUAGGAUUGCAGAUCCCGGUGGUAGUAACAGCAAAGAGAAGUGAGAAUCUUCUCCGCCGAAAGGGCCAGGGUUCCCCGGCAACGAUCUUCAGCCGGGGGUAAGUCGGUCCUAAGACAUGACUUAACCGAACAUGUCGAACAAGGGAAUCCGGUUAAAAUUCCGGAACCACAAAGGUACACGCGGCAACGCAAGUCCAUUAUCUGACGUUUUAGGAUAAGCUGAGCAGGGCUGUCGCCUUGUUUAACCGUAUAAACCUGGGGAGUGCCGUAAUGGCGAGAACCAGGCGAAAUCGGGAAUAGCCAACCGUUUUAGGUAGGUUCAGCUAAUUUCUGGAAUCACUGAAAAAGAUAAUGGAAUGGAUCCUUUGUGACCGUACCUAGAACCAACACAGGUGCCCCUAGGCAAGAAACCUAAGGCGUGUCGGGUAUACACUAAUGCGAGGGAAUUCGGCAAAUUAGCCCCGUACCUUCGGUAUAAGGGGUGCCUGCUCUUACAACCAUGUGUUGUCGAGUGCAGGUCGCAGUGACAAAGGGGUCUCGACUGUUUAAUAAAAACACAGGAAGCCGCAAGCGCGAAAGCGUGUGAACGGCUUCUGAAUCCUGGCCAGUACAGGUACCUGAAACCUGGGUCCAACUGGGCUAAGGGCCUGCAAACGCCGGGAGUAACUCUGACUCUCUCAAGGUAGCCAAAUGCCUUGUCGGGUAAGUUCCGACGUGCAUGAAUGGAUCAACGAGGGCCCCACUGUCCCCGCGUAGUACCCGGUGAAACCACAUAACGUGGACGAACAGUCCACGAUCUCCCAGCGGGAAAAGAAGUCCCUGUGGAGUUUUACUGCAGCCUGCCGCUGGAAUACGGUUGUGGAUGCAGAGUGUAGUCGGGAGCCGUUAAUCCCGUCUUCUCCGGGAGACGGGGUAGGCAACAAUGGAACACCGACCUUCUGCAACCGUGUUUCUGACCCACACUUUUGUGUGGGAACACCGGUAGGUGGGCAGUUCGGCUGGGGCGGCACGCCCUUGAAAAGAUAUCAAGGGCGCCCUAAGGUUGGCUCAGGGGGGACAGAAACCCUCCGUAGAGUGCAAGGGCAAAAGCCAGCCUGACUGGAUCCUCAACAGUAAGGGAUGCAGAGGCGAAAGCCGGGCUUAGCGAUCAUCCAUGUUUCCCCCUUGGUGGGGGCUGGAUGUGUCAGAAAAAUUACCCUAGGGAUAACAGGCUUGUCGCGGGCGAGAGUCCCCAUCGACCCCGCGGCUUGGUACCUCGAUGUCGGCUCUUCCUAUCCUGGCCCUGCAUAAGGGGCCAAGGGUGAGGCUGCUCGCCUAUUAAAAGGGAACGUGAGCUGGGUUCAGACCGUCGUGAGACAGGUUGGUCCCUAUCUACCGCAGGCGUCGAAUCUUGAGGGGAGUUGGCCCUUGUACGAGAGGAUCGGGCUGAACUGACCUCUGGUCUACCAGCUGUUCCGCCAGGAGCACCGCUGGGUAGCUAAGUCGGGAAGGGAUAAGAGCUGAAAGCAUCUAAGCUCGAAGCCCACCCCAAGAUUAGGAUUCAUAGAUUCCUCAGAGAUGAUGAGGUUGAUAGGCUGUAGGUGUAAGUGGAGUAAUCCAUUAAGCCAAGCAGUACUAAUAAAUCAUAAACCAUAUUUGGCUAGCGAUUAAUGAC
rnacentral:rRNA from 1 species